rnacentral:ncRNA from 1 species
ACAAUGAUACUUCUGCCCAGCCACAGUCCGAGCGGAUAACAAUUCAGGGCUCCCGCAAAAGCAUAGCUUUUGUGGGAAAAGAGAGCAAUCGCCUGAUAAGCGAUGCUUUUGCCGAAAGGCAAAACGAGCCCAAAGGCGAAUUGCGAACGCCGUCGCAGGCAAUGAGUGCAGUCCGGGCAGAGCCGGGAAGGUGAAAUUCCUAUG